rnacentral:rRNA from 1 species
GCGACGACGGGUAGCCGGCCUGAGAGGGCGACCGGCCACACUGGGACUGAGACACGGCCCAGACUCCUACGGGAGGCAGCAGUGGGGAAUAUUGCACAAUGGGCGGAAGCCUGAUGCAGCGACGCCGCGUGAGGGAUGACGGCCUUCGGGUUGUAAACCUCUUUCAGCAGGGACGAAGCGCAAGUGACGGUACCUGCAGAAGAAGCGCCGGCCAACUACGUGCCAGCAGCCGCGGUAAGACGUAGGGCGCGAGCGUUGUCCGGAUUUAUUGGGCGUAAAGAGCUCGUAGGCGGCUUGUCGCGUCGAAUGUGAAAUCUCAGAGCUCAACUCUGACAUUGCAUUCGAUACGGGCAGGCUAGAGUUCGGUAGGGGAGACUGGAAUUCCUGGUGUAGCGGUGAAAUGCGCAGAUAUCAGGAGGAACACCGAUGGCGAAGGCAGGUCUCUGGGCCGAUACUGACGCUGAGGAGCGAAAGCGUGGGGAGCGAACAGGAUUAGAUACCCUGGUAGUCCACGCUGUAAACGUUGGGCGCUAGGUGUGGGGACCCUCUCCGGGUUUCUGCGCCGCAGCUAACGCAUUAAGCGCCCCGCCUGGGGAGUACG